rnacentral:sRNA from 1 species
UUACGGAUGCUACAGCUGGAGGUUGCAA